GGAAUCUUGCACAAUGGGCGAAAGCCUGAUGCAGCAACGCCGCGUGCGGGAAGAAGGCCCUAGGGUUGUAAACCUCUUUCAGUAGGGAAGAAGCGAAAGUGACGGUACCUGCAGAAGAAGCGCCGGCUAACUACGUGCCCGCAGCCGCGGUAAUACGUAGGGCGCAAGCGUUAUCCGGAAUUAUUGGGCGUAAAGAGCUCGUAGGCGGUUUGUCGCGUCUGCCGUGAAAGUCCGGGGCUCAACUCCGGAUCUGCGGUGGGUACGGGCAGACUAGAGUGAUGUAGGGGAGACUGGAAUUCCUGGUGUAGCGGUGAAAUGCGCAGAUAUCAGGAGGAACACCGAUGGCGAAGGCAGGUCUCUGGGCAUUAACUGACGCUGAGGAGCGAAAGCAUGGGGAGCGAA
rnacentral:rRNA from 1 species